rnacentral:misc_RNA from 1 species
CUGAACUGUCAACAUGAGUUGUUGCUGGUCCUCAAAUGGGGGCAUGUGCACGCUCUGUUCACACAUCCAUUCACACCUGUGCACCUUCUGUAGUUCUAUGGGCUGGGGGACCUUGUCCUCCUUCUGUAGCUCUACGUCUUUACACACACACUGUAAUAAUUGAAAAUA